CUGCUGACUGAUAGGAUGGGAGGGA
rnacentral:piRNA from 1 species